GGUGUCGUCCACAGUAGCCGGCCACGGUCUCGUGUGUCAGUGCCACUGCGGCACACCAUCCAUCCGUACCUCGUCUCACUGCUCUUCAUUGCGUGGUGGGAUGGGGCGGAUCUUUUACUUUGAAAAAAUUAGAGUGUUUCAAGCAGGCGUUAUGCUAUGAAUACAUUAGCAUGGAAUAAUAAUUUAGGACUUCGGUUCUAUUUUGUUGGUUUCGCGGACUGAAGUA
rnacentral:rRNA from 1 species